rnacentral:rRNA from 1 species
UACGUAGGGUGCGAGCGUUGUCCGGAAUUACUGGGCGUAAAGCGCACGCAGGUGGCUGAGUCAGUCGAUUGUGAAAGCCCUGGGCUUAACCUGGGAAUUGCAGUCGAUACUACUCAGCUAGAGUAUGGGAGAGGGCAGUGGAAUUCCCGGUGUAGCGGUGAAAUGCGUAGAUAUCGGGAGGAACAUCAGUGGCGAAGGCGGCUGCCUGGCCCAAUACUGACACUCAGGUGCGACAGCGUGGGGAGCAAACAGG